CACGCUGUAAACGAUCAAUACUAGGUGUGCGGGGACUGACCCCCUGCGUGCCGGAGUUAACACAAUAAGUAUUGCACCUGGGGAGUACGAUCGCAAGGUUGAAACUCAAAGGAAUUGACGGGGGCCCGCACAAGCGGUGGAUUAUGUGGUUUAAUUCGAAGCAACGCGAAGAACCUUACCAGGCCUUGACAUCCAAUGAACUUUCUAGAGAUAGAUUGGUGCCUUCGGGAACAUUGAGACAGGUGC
rnacentral:rRNA from 1 species